ACUACGAGUUUGAUCCUGGCUCAGAUUGAACGCUGGCGGCAUGCUUUACACAUGCAAGUCGAACGGUAACAGGCCUUCGGGUGCUGACGAGUGGCGAACGGGUGAGUAAUGCAUCGGAACAUACCCAGUCGUGGGGGAUAACGUAGCGAAAGUUACGCUAAUACCGCAUACGUCCUGAGGGAGAAAGCGGGGGAUCGCAAGACCUCGCGCGAUUGGAGUGGCCGAUGUCAGAUUAGCUAGUUGGUGGGGUAAAGGCCUACCAAGGCGACGAUCUGUAGCGGGUCUGAGAGGAUGAUCCGCCACACUGGGACUGAGACACGGCCCAGACUCCUACGGGAGGCAGCAGUGGGGAAUUUUGGACAAUGGGGGCAACCCUGAUCCAGCCAUGCCGCGUGCGGGAAGAAGGCCUUCGGGUUGUAAACCGCUUUCAGCCGGAAAGAAAUCGCACGGACUAAUACUCUGUGUGGAUGACGGUACCGGAAGAAGAAGCACCGGCUAACUACGUG
rnacentral:rRNA from 1 species